rnacentral:lncRNA from 1 species
UUUCUCUCUAGAUUUGCUCACUCUCCCUAGUACUGUGCAGCAAUUUUUACUCUUUUUAAAACCUGCUCUCCUAGAGGCAAAGCCAGCAUUGCUCAUUGGCACAGCUUAGGCCAGUGACAGAUCCAUUUUGGAGCAGCUGGAACUGACUCCAAUCUGACAUGGAGUAGCUGCCGGGCUCUGCUUACAGAGGCCACCCCUGAAGUACCCUUUGCCACCAAAACCUUUCCCAUAAACACAGCGCAGAAAGUGAUAUGUAACAGUAGAAAAUAUGGAGGUUGUAGCAUAAGUAAUGAUGAUUUAACUUAUUUUAAAAUGUAAUGAAGAGAUAUGCCUUUUAUCUUCUUUGGGCUGGUUGCAGAGUGCUUUGGUACAGUUUGCAAUUAUGAGUAUUUUGGUUGCAGCCUUUUUUUUUUUUUUUUUUUUUUUUUUUUUUUUGCCAGGGCACAUAACUGCAUUGUUCUAGACCUUAUUUUUCCUUAUUUUUCUUCAAAUAACUCCAGUGAUGAUAUUGACCUCUUCUCUGUACUGGUUUGGGUUUUUAAUAAUGCUUUGAGAGUGGGAUUACUUUCAUUUGGUAUGAGAGAGUCAUCUUCGAUUCCAGUUACUGUUAUUGGGAACACACAGAAAUUUUCAGGCAUAGAUUCAGUCACCUAG